rnacentral:tRNA from 1 species
CAAAGUAUAGCUUAACCAAAGCCCCUCGCUUACACCGAGUCGAUAUCCGUUAAAUCCAGAUUACUUUGA